AGCCAUGCGUCGAGCACAAAGCGAACUAUUCUUUCGCCUUUUACUAAGCGAAUACCAUGUGCACGUCGCUUUAAACGGCAUACGCCUAUUUUUGAAAGGGCGCACCUCUGUGGGUGCC
rnacentral:snRNA from 1 species